GACGAACGCUGGCGGCGUGCUUAACACAUGCAAGUCGAACGGAAAGGCCCUGCUUUUGUGGGGUGCUCGAGUGGCGAACGGGUGAGUAACACGUGAGUAACCUGCCCUUGACUUUGGGAUAACUUCAGGAAACUGGGGCUAAUACCGGAUAGGAGCUCCUGCUGCAUGGUGGGGGUUGGAAAGUUUCGGCGGUUGGGGAUGGACUCGCGGCUUAUCAGCUGGUUGGUGGGGUAGUGGCUUACCAAGGCUUUGACGGGUAGCCGGCCUGGGAGGGUGACCGGCCAAAUUGGGACUGGGAUACGGCCCAGACUCCUACGGGAGGCAGCAGUGGGGAAUAUUGCACAAUGGGCGGAAGCCUGAUGCAGCAACGCCGCGUGCGGGAUGACGGCCUUCGGGUUGUAAACCGCUUUCGCCUGUGACGAAGCGUGAGUGACGGUAAUGGGUAAAGAAGCACCGGCUAACUACGUG
rnacentral:rRNA from 1 species